UAUAAAAUACUUUGCAAGAUUAGUUUGUUUAGGAAAAUUGUAUUUUGUGUUUUAAUGUUUGGACCUUAUCAACAACUAUAAGAAAAGUCCUUCCAUUUUGAAUUAAUUACAACUCAUGCCAUUCCAAUAAAUUACCACUUUGCCAUUGAUGCUACUCCUAUUGAAUAUGGUGGAGCCCACAUAUAAUUAAUUAUUAUAAAUUAUUUAUAUAUUAAAAAUUAAUAAUAUUUAAUUAAAAAAUCAAAUAAAUAUUUAUGACAUGNN
rnacentral:lncRNA from 1 species